GGGAUCUUCCCAGACCGGGGCACGAACCCGUGUCUCCUGCAUUGUUCUUUUCUAGAUGUGAGUAGAUGCAAGAAUUGGAGCUCAUAAGAUCUUCUCCUGAAAAUAUCUAACUAUAUGAAGACCUGUUUUGCCAGUUUUUCCCAGAUCAGAGUGCCGCAUUCCUGAUCUCCACCCUGACCUCCUUUCAGGGGGUGUUGAAGUGUACAUUGUGCAUCUGUACUACACAUUAACUAGGUUCCCUUAGAAGACACAGGAAUGCCUACUUGCCAAAAAGAAAAAAAAAAGCAAUUUCCUCCUGGCAUCAGCAAGGCUCCGGACGCGCAGGCUCAGCGGCCAUGGCUCACGGGCCCAGCC